CAGUGAAGUAAUUGUUGAAUACGACUCUGCGAGAGCCCUCCAGUUCUUCUGCAAAGAAACAUAGGAACUCUCCAGUUGUUCACUGAAAUGGCCGAGUUGGUGAGGAUUUAAUAUUUUAAUAAUCUCAAAGCUGAACACCAAACACAUCUCCAAAGCAUGUACUUACAGUUUUCAGAGAUGGGAAGGACAACAAACUCCCCCUUAAGAAGAGGUUUGAUGUGCCCAGGCCUGCCGAGCUUUCGCAGUGAUUUCUGUUUGCUUACUGAUUUACAACAUCCACAGUUCUUUGGCAUUUUUGUAUAGAAUUUUUCAUAGUUGAUGAGGAC